UACGAAGGGGGCUAGCGUUGUUCGGAAUUACUGGGCGUAAAGCGCGUGUAGGCGGUUGCCCAAGUCGGGUGUGAAAGCCUUGAGCUCAACUCAAGAAAUGCACUCGGUACUGGGUGACUAGAGGACCGGAGAGGAUAGUGGAAUUCCCAGUGUAGUGGUGAAAUACGUAGAGAUUGGGAAGAACACCCGUGGCGAAGGCGGUUCUCUGGGACGGUACUGACGCUGAGACGCGAAAGCGUGGGGAGCGAACAGG
rnacentral:rRNA from 1 species